AUGGCAAUCUUAUUUGUUUUCACACUCUGGCUCUGCUUACGGCGUUCAUUGAGUCAGUCGGUGACUCAGAGCCCGUCCAUUGUAAACUUGAAUGAGUGUCAGACUGCCACUAUCACCUGCAGUUUCCAGCCUGGUUCGACGGGUGCAUAUCGCUUUCAGACUGGAAAAUUCUUCAGGCAGACCAAUUCAGCGGCCGAACGGAAAGAGGUCACCCGCGGGGGGAGAUUUGUUACUUGGGUUAAGAAAACUGAUAUGCAGUUUUCGUUGGAAAUUCGGGACCUGCGAGUGGAAGACAGCGGCACCUAUUACUGUCAAGCUGUGUACAGAUGGAAUGCAGCACAAUGA